CAGAUCUAGCAUCUUGGUUUUGAUCUCUUGUGCAGCUCUGGUACAGGGAUGAGUCAUGGCAGUUCCUGAGCGAGGAUAACAGUGACCUCUCCGCGUUGGUGUUUAUAAACCACGGCUCCAAGAAAGCUCUUCGCUCCCAGUCAUCCGGAGCAUUGCCAAGCUUACUGUUGGAGAUUAUGAUCCGGCAGUCGAGAACAAUUCUCUCCUCUGGUCUAUUUCCGGAAGCUCGGACAAUCAAGUCUUCGUCACAGAGACUGGGAAUUCGUCCGUGUUUUUGAGCCACACUGCGUCGUCGAGGUCCAGCUUUAAAGACGGAGUGCCAGUGGUGACAUCUUCCCAGGGUGAAAACUCUAGGUGGAAGAUCGUUGCUUAUGUGCCUUCGCAUGUGUACAGGAUUCUGUGCACUGGUUUGGCAAUUACUUGACUUGGAAGCAGCAAAAUGUGGACGUAAUUUCAAGGAUGCAAUCAUGCACAACGACGAGACAAACGUGGUGGCUGUUAGUCCAAACAACAUUUCUCUCGACGGCAUGGCAUGGUUCAAGGUUCCUGCUGGUGGCCGAGACAAUACCACGUA